ensembl:lncRNA
AGGCAAGUUGUAUUUUUGAGGAAUAAUUUUAUUAUUGAACAACAACCAUGUUCUCAAUGAACCCAAAAACACAUUAAUAUCAAAGCUGAAUGUUUUUGGAAGUAGUUUUUUAUUUUUAGUUUUAGCUAUUUUAGGGGGAUAUCUGUGUGUGCAAGUGACUAUUACUGUGCAUAAUUAUUAGGCAGCUUAACAAAAAACAAAUAUAUACCCAUUUCAAUUAUUUAUUUUUACCAGUGAAACCAAUAAAACAUCUCCACAUUCACAAAUAUACAUUUCUGACAUUCAAAAACAAAGCAAAAACAAAUCAGCGACCAAUAUAGCCACCUUUCUUUGGAAGGACACUCAAAAGCCUGCCAUCCAUGGAUUCUGUCAGUGUUUUGUUCACCAUCAACAUUGCGUGCAGCAGCAACCACAGCCUCCCAGACACUGUUCAGAGAGGUGUACUGUUUUCCCUCCUUGUAAAUCUCACAUUUGAUGAUGGACCACAGGUUCUCAAUGGGGUUGAGAUCAGGUGAACAAGGAGGCCAUGUCAUUAGUUUUUCUUCUUUUAUACCCUUUC